CGCGAAUUCGCCCUUCGGGGUGCAGCAGGCGCGAAAACUUUACAAUGCGGGAAACCGUGAUAAGGGGACACCGAGUGCCAGCAUCAUAUGCUGGCUGUCCAGGUGUGUAAAAUACACCUGUCAGCAAGGGCCGGGCAAGACCGGUGCCAGCCGCCGCGGUAACACCGGCGGCCCGAGUGGUGAUCGUGAUUAUUGGGUCUAAAGGGUCCGUAGCCGGUUUGGUCAGUCCUCCGGGAAAUCUGACGGCUCAACCGUUAGGCUUUCGGGGGAUACUGCCAGGCUUGGAACCGGGAGAGGUAAGAGGUACUACAGGGGUAGGAGUGAAAUCUUGUAAUCCCUGUGAGACCACCUGUGGCGAAGGCGUCUUACCAGAACGGGUUCGACGGUGAGGGACGAAAGCUGGGGGCACGAACCGGAUUAGAUACCCGGGUAGUCCCAGCCGUAAACGAUGCUCGCUAGGUGUCAGGCAUGGCGCGACCGUGUCUGGUGCCGCAGGGAAGCCGUGAAGCGAGCCACCUGGGAAGUACGGCCGCAAGGCUGAAACUUAAAGGAAUUGGCGGGGGAGCA
rnacentral:rRNA from 1 species